rnacentral:tRNA from 1 species
GCAGUCGUGGCCGAGUGGUUAAGGCGAUGGACUCGAAAUCCAUUGGGGUUUCCCCGCACAGGUUCGAAUCCUGUCCGCUGCG